rnacentral:rRNA from 1 species
GUGGGGAAUAUUGGACAAUGGGCGCAAGCCUGAUCCAGCCAUGCCGCGUGAGUGAAGAAGGCCUUAGGGUUGUAAAGCUCUUUCACCUGCGAAGAUGAUGACGGUAGCAGGAGAAGAAGCCCCGGCUAACUCCGUGCCAGCAGCCGCGGUAAUACGGAGGGGGCUAGCGUUGUUCGGAAUUACUGGGCGUAAAGGGCGCGUAGGCGGUAUGCCAUGUCAGGGGUGAAAGGCCUGGGCUCAACCUAGGAACUGCCUUUGAAACUGGCAAACUAGAGUCCGAGAGAGGAUGGCGGAAUUCCCAGUGUAGAGGUGAAAUUCGUAGAUAUUGGGAAGAACACCAGUGGCGAAGGCGGCCAUCUGGAUCGGCACUGACGCUGAGGCGCGAAAGCGUGGGGAGCAAACAGG